rnacentral:rRNA from 1 species
ACGGGUUGUGAGAGCAAGAGCCCGGAGACGGUAUCUGAGACAAGAUACCGGGCCCUACGGGGCGCAGCAGGCGCGAAACCUUUACACUGCACGAACGUGCGAUAAGGGGACUCCAAGUGCGAGGGCAUACAGUCCUCGCUUUUCCCUACCGUAAGGUGGUAGGUGAAUAAGAGCUGGGCAAGACCGGUGCCAGCCGCCGCGGUAAUACCGGCAGCUCGAGUGAUGGCCAAUAUUAUUGGGCCUAAAGCGUCCGUAGCUGGCCGAACAGGUCCGUCGGGAAAUCCGCCCGCUCAACGGGCGGACGUCCGGCGGAAACCAGUCGGCUUGGGACCGGAAGACCCGAGGGGUACGUCCAGGGUAGGAGUGAAAUCCCGUAAUCCUGGACGGACCACCGGUGGCGAAAGCGCCUCGGGAGGACGGAUCCGACAGUGAGGGACGAAAGCUUGGGUCACGAACCGGAUUAGAUACCCGGGUAGUCCAAGCUGUAAACGAUGCUCGCUAGGUGUGGCACUGGCUACGAGCCAGUGCUGUGCC